rnacentral:snRNA from 1 species
CUAUUCUGAAACACAUGUUGUAAAAUUGGAGUGAUACAGAAAAGAUUAGCAUGGCCCCUGUGCAAGAAUGAGAUGCAAUUUAUGAAGCAUUCCAUAGUUUU